ensembl:lncRNA
ACCAAACUGAUAUCCAGGGGCGCCAAACUUCCUUUGCUAAUUUAAUUUUCUUUUCACUUUUUGGAGACCCUAGGGAUACAAAGCCAGACCAGAUUGAAUGAAGCUGGGGAAUGGUUUGAAAUUUCUGGAGAUUAAGGAGGGAUGCCACCACAGCAUGGCUCGAUGAGCAGUGUGCAGGUCCGUGCCUGGGAUCCGAACUUGUGAACCCCGGGCCACCUAAGCAGAGAGUGAAAACUCAACCAUGAUACCACUGGGCUGGACCCACCAUUGUCAUCUGUUAAAUAAGACUCAUCAGUAAGCCAUGAGAUGUCGGCAUUACUCAGAGGUGUUUCCUGUAGGUCAUCACAAGUGGUUAGGAGUUGGUCUGUUGGUGUCAAACAGUUGUUGGGGACUCUAUCAGUGGCAGAGGGGAGAAGGAAACAGGGUUAAGGUUAUUGCACCAAGAAAGUGUUUUGUGAGGAGCAGUUAGUAAGAAGAUAUCAUAAGAGGUGAGGUGGCUAGCUGAAAAAUAUUGAAUGUAGUGAGGAUUUAGGAGGGCUUCCACUGCAUGGGGUACAAAAAUGGUGAAAGUGGAUCCCAUAGCUAUUUCCUGAGUGGCCUUAACUGAAAAGGUAUUAGCAGUUACAGCUUUAAGGCAGGGAGAGUAUCCUUGAGCUACAUGGUCCAGUCGCUGACUGUAGUACCUUAUGGAUGGAUGGCGGUCCCCAUGUUUUUGUGUGAAUACCCCGAGGGCUAUCCCUUCCUUCUCCUGCACAAAAAGAAAAAGGAAAGCUGGUAGUUUGGAUGCUCAAGAGCAGGGGAGUUUAUUAAGCGCUCGUUUAAGGCUUUGAAGGCUAUAUUAUCCUGUUCUCCCCACAAGAUCAAGUUAGGGUUGUUGUCUUUUUUAGUAAGAAGUACAAGAGUUUAGCCAUAAGAGAAAAACUUGAAAUCCAGUUUCUGCAAUGGCCAGCCAGCCCAAGAAAACCUCAUAGAUGACACUUAGUUUUGGGUUUCAGGAAGCUCAGGACACCGUGAAGCCUGUCUGGAUCUAGUUAUAACCCUUGUUCUGGUAUCAGGUGUCCCAAAUACCAAACCUGGGUUUGGACAAACUGCCGUUUCUCCUUGGUGAUCUUGUGUCCCUUUAGGGUUAACAGCCUUAGUAAGUGGAUGCUGUCUUCCUCUGAGGAGCUCUGAGAGGAGGAGUAAAGAAGAAAAUCGUCUAUGAUCUGCAACAAAGUAGAACCUCUAGGAAAUGGUGCAUCAUCCAGAUCAGCCUUCAAGACUUGUGAAAAGUAAGAAGGACUUUCAAUAAAGCCGUGAGCUUCACCGUCCCGGUGAAUUGUGUUCCUUCUCAAGUGAAAGUCAAGAGGAACUGGCUGUCCUCCUCAAUUGGGACAUAAAGAACACGCCUCACAGAUCAAUCACAGUAAAGAAUUUACUUUCACUUAGGAUAGAUGCCAGC